AGAGUUUGAUCCUGGCUCAGGAUGAACGCUAGCGGCAGGCUUAACACAUGCAAGUCGAGGGGCAGCGGGGUGUAGCAAUACACUGCCGGCGACCGGCGCACGGGUGCGUAACGCGUAUGCAACCUACCCAUAACAGGGGCAUAACACUGAGAAAUUGGUACUAAUUCCCCAUAACAUUCGAAGAGGCAUCUCUUUGGGUUGAAACUACCGGUGGUUAUGGAGUGGGCGAUGCGUUG
rnacentral:rRNA from 1 species